rnacentral:lncRNA from 1 species
CUAGAAUGUCUUAGGCAAUAAUACAGCGACAGUGACACAAUGCAUAAUACCUGUGUAUUCACUCCAGUAGAAGGGAAAUGCCUUGAGAAUGGAGCAUUCCUCAUCCAUCUACUUAUCUCAGAGCUUACACUGUGCCAGGCAUAGGUAGUAAGCACUCAAGAAAUCUUUGAGAGGGAGACAUUCUGUUCCGUUCAGCAAAGACAGAGGAAAACUUCAGUGAUCUGCCAAGUCACCAGAAAGACCAAGGAGUUGCCCAGGAUCUCCCAGAAUCAAGAGGAAGCUAAAGGAACUGUGUCAUCUCAUAGCCAAACAUUUGUUGGUCUCUCUCAUUCCGCCAUCAUCGAGUCAAUACCUACGACGCGGCAGGAACACCAUCAGAUGCAUCUCAUCAAAAUCCCUCUGGACUGAGAGAUAGGGCUUCUCUCUGAGCACAAAGCAACAUGGCUGUCACACAGACUUUGUUGAGGACAGAUAAAUACUCAACGUAUCUGAAUUUGGCUGACUUCAAAAUAGGAUUUGGCUACUGCA